AUUCUCUCGAAAUGCAAUAAAUAUGCCAAAAAAGUACAUUUCAAAUAUUUAAAACUCUAACAUUUUUUUAAUUCUAAUCUACUUUAACAAUUAAAUAAUAAUAAUAAAAAAACGCAGCCCGAAGUUAACAUGUGUAAUAAAGAAUCUUUCAACGAAUUUCUGCAGACAAGCUCCCCUCUCUUCUCUCCUGUUCAGACGAUUAUAUCUUAAUAUGCGCUGUAGUUUCGCCCAAUAAUGACAGCUGUUCAGCUGAUAGUAACUUCUUUCCAAGUUUUUUUCUUUCUUUUUUUUUUCCUCCUCUCCCUCUCCACUCCACCCCACUCGGGCCCCCCUUGGUCUCUGUCUUGCUUUGUUGUUUUUAAAAUAUGCAUGUCUCUCUCCGGAAUGCCAGUCACGGGUCCAAACUUUGUGUGUCCCAACCUCCCACAUGAUGAAAUGAUCCUUUUAAAAGCGAGCUCAAUAUGUCUCAAUCUGCACUCUUCUCCCUCCUCUACCAAAGCCUUCUGGGUUCGGGACGCAACCCAGACACGUACAUAAGUGUAUGCAUAUAAUAAUUAAAGCGCAAUUCACUUUACUGCGGACUUUAUUUCUAAGCGCUGAAGAGGAAGACGCGGCUGGACCAAGUCAAGUUCUGUCAGCGACGGAUGGAUGAAGAUUCAUGGGAGGAAAAGGGGGGAAAAAGAGCCGCUGCGUGUGGUGACAACGUUGGCGUUCUCUUCGGCUUCCUCUUCCUCCUUCGUCUUCAGGACUUCGUUGAAGAACCUGAAGAUGGACUCAAAACUCAUCCAGGAGCAGAUCAAUGCGGCAGCGCUCGCUCGUUCACCCUGAACUGGUGGUGAACUCCCCCCCCCGCACGCUGCCAGCCAGCCUCUCCGCCCUACUCCACCGCAUUCGAGGGUCACCAUAGGGGUGUCUCUGUGCUAAUAUGCAGAUGAGAUGCUGCCCCUCCAAUGACUCGGACGUUAAGCUCCACCUCCCUCUAAAGGGUUGAGGGCUUUGAGAUUAAGUCUUCUCUGUUCACUAUCUCAUAUAGACAUAAAUUGUCUCUCAUAUGAAAUGUGAUAAAUUGCAUUUACUCGUAUUUCUAAAGCUAAAGGACAAAAUUCACAAUGCGCAUGCUGACAGAAAGAGAAACAUUACAAUGUAAUAUAUAAACAACAUAGUUCAAUGGGGAAUGGAGCAUGCCUUGUAAAAAACGAGUGGCCAAAAAUACAGGCAAACAGUAUAUGUUCAUCUAUGACUUUAGCAAUAUUCAGGUGGAUUAAAUUUUCUUUUUUGGGG